GGUAUGUGGCUCAAGUGGUAGAGUGCUUGCUUGGCAUGCGCGGGGUGCUGGGUUCGAUCCUCAGCACCA
rnacentral:tRNA from 1 species